AUGGUAUCAGGUCAGAUUCGCUUAGGCCCAUUUGGCCAAAAGGAUAAGCAUUCUAACAAAAAAAACAAAGAAAAAAAACCUAGUUCCAUAAUCAGCCUCCACCUCAUGUUGUUAUCUAACCCAAAAAAUUUCAUCUAUUACAUUCGAUUUUCCAUAAAUUACCAAUCAGGAUCCAUUCAAAACCCUAAUAAAAAAGGAACGCUCUUUCUCAAUCAAUCGCAUGAAGUUUCUUUUCCUUUGUAUUUUGAUCAUCCUCAACUGAUUCUCUCACUCUCUAAUUUCACGGUUUCAUCUUUCUCGGUGCGAUAUUUUCUCACACGAUAA